UGGCAAGAUCUGGGAAAUGCAAUCAAUGAGAAGAAUAUACAGGAAAUAGAAGCCAUAAACAAAAAAGAUUGGUUGAGUCUCGGCGAGGUCUGGAGUACAGGUGUUGAAACUAAUCAGUGGUGACCCAGAAAGAUCUGAAGCUGAACAGAAUGCUUUCAAGAUGGAAAUGUGCAACAAAGAUGGCAGAGAUGGGCUGGUAAUGGUCUCAUCUUUCCUUUUGUAGGCUUUAUUCCAGAUGUAGCUUUAAAAGGAUAGAAGCCUGUUGGACGCACAAGAGGACAUGCCUGAGAGUGAGGAAACCUUCAUCUGCUGUGAGACCCACAAUAUGACUUUGCCUUUCUAAACCUGGAGAACUCUAUUUUAAAAGAUUCCAAUUGUUAGAACUGAAGGCACAUUAUCAGAAUGAUUCAGCUUCCAUUCCAGGACUCAUAAACACAUAUCUCUUAAAGCUAUGACUUGAUGCAACUGGGAUGUGCUAUGCAGGAGAUACUGUUCUUCCCAGCCUUAAAAAUCUAUGAGCCUGCAGUGUCCUGAUAAUCAGCAUCCAGGAGCUUCAGGUUUUAUCAAUUAGCACAACAUGAAAAGAGAAAUUGCAAUUGUAAUGAAGAAACAGGGUGUGUUGAAAGGAGAUGGAAGCUCUAGAUCUCAAUGAGAGGUUAGAGUCUGCAUCUAGCAUCUGGAUAUUAGCUUCUGGAGGCUGAGCCUACUGCUGAGCACAGAACUGAAGCCGAGUCUACAUCUGCAAGGCAUGCCAUCAGCCCAUUAGCCAUCACUGAAGUGAAGCCACUCCUGACAUCUCUGAACUCAAAGCAUUAAAAGUCUGGAUUUUCAAACUGUGAUCCAAAACACAGCAUUGUCCAGCAGCACCACAGUCCUUAACAGGUUCUGUUUCAGAAGUGCCACCCAUGACCUGCAACAUGCAGUUUCUUCCUCAGGAUGCUCCUUUCCUACUGCUAACUCCAUUGACUCUUGUGUGAGUUUUGUAAGAUCUGAGAUCCAAAGCCUGAGGCAGGAUGUCUGUAGUACUACAGAGAACUUCCAGGCACGUACUGGAGACAAGGUAGAUGGUUUGACAGCAGUCUGGAAGAAAGAGAAGAGAAUAAUUCUCCACUAUCUCCUAGAAACCUACAAGUGUUUCACUUCUGGGCAUUUUCUGAAACAUCUGGAUACAAGGAGGAUAAAAGGUACCAGUGUAACCUCCCAGUAAGAUCAAUUGUUUAAAGCUUUGUGUGUAUUUCUAAUCUUCUUUGGCAUCCUUCCCAAGAUCAUAGAAACUGAUCUGUGAAUUUCCUUGGAGUAGAAUGCAACGUAUUCUGCAUAUUUCUACUUUAUGCAGUCAGCUUAGAUUGUCUUAUCCCUAAUUUAUCAUCAAAUUACACAGAAAGGAAAACAAGGAAUUUUCUAGACAGUCCCAUAUAAGCUGUUAAAAUUGCCUUUUCCUCCUCAUCAUCAUAGUUCUUUGCUUUCAAUCUGAGUUUUUGCAAAGGUUUUUGUCAAUGGAGCUUAUCCAGCAGAUGGAAGUCAUGAUAAAGCUUCAAACGAUUUUCUUCUUGCAGUCUCCCAUGAAUUGUGGCCACGCUUGUUUAUUUCAAGCAUUUAGGGUCUUAUCCAGAGAGAUUCAGAGCUACCUACAAAGUCAAAGUGUUGAACUCCCCAUAGCUCGGUGAGCUCUGAGCUCUCAGACCUGAUUAACCCAGCAUCUAAGAGGAUCAGUUCAAACUUCCACAAGUGUUUACCUUAGGCAACAUGCACAUUACCAGUAUCUGAGACAUCAUCAAAGUUGGCUCAUGCAUGGAACCAGUGUCUUCAUAGUCUCUAGGACUGUGACAGAAAACAGGAUAUUGUUAUGUGGUUGUGAGAAGCCUUGAGAAUUGGUCUUGGACCUGGAAAAUCUGUCCGCCCUGCUGCUGCUCGUGUUCUGCUUUUAAUUUCCUUGCCUUCUCAUAGACUGCAGACCUCUGUAGUACUCAUAAUAAAGGGCUUAAUUAGGUGACAAGAAGAACAUUAAAAGGGCUAAGACCUUUAAAAACAAUUGGAAACAUUUAUAACCCCAAACAUGGUACACUUGACAUGAUGUUCUUUAGGGAUUUAUCUCCCUCACAAAGGACACGUCCUACAGUGCUGAAAGACAACUUGAUUUCAAUUAUCUUUAUUUCAAAGAAUGAGAAUUGUAGUUAUAAGUCAUCAGAGUUUGGGAUUUUUUCAGUUUUCAUUGAAUUCUUUCUCCUUUGAGCACACAUCUAUUUGUGCAACUCAGCCUUUUCUAGUAAAAAUCAUUCUUUCUUUAUCCAAUCACAUCACUGCCUUUCCUUUUUCCUCCUUGUAGAUAAAUAAUUCCCAAUUAGACUUCUACCCAAAAUUAUCCAAGGUUGUUUGUUGUCUUCCUAUUCAUUUUACUUACGUAUCCUAUUAGCAACAUCUGCCUUAUAUGUAUUGAUAAUGAACACUUCAGGGAUCAUCUAUUAUUCUGCAACCAUAUAAAAGCUAGAACAAGAAGACCUAUUGUUGGUAAAUAUAUUCAUAUUAACGUUAGAAAUGUGUUUAUUGAUGAUAAUAACAAUCAUAUUUUAAUAACUCAUUGGUUGCAGUGACUUCACUGAUGUGUGUUUAUCUGUGCAAAAGCAAAAACAGCGACAGAAGUAAACUAAAUCUUAUGUAAACAUGCUUUAAAACUCAUCUUUAGUUUCGAUCACCAUUGGCUCCAUUCAGUGCUUUGAAAAGUUCCAUCUCUUUAAAAGCUUUCCUUUGGGACUCAGUUCGUUUUUCUGCAGAGAAGCAAUGACCUCCCCCAGGUUGUUUCUUGACUGAAGUAAUUGCUGUGACUCCUCAGGUCCCACACAACCAAUAGCUAAUUAGUUCCAAUCAAGUUCUCUCACAGGUGCUUCUGAAGUUGCCAUUUGGAAGCAGCAGUUUCUUCUGGAAGGUGGAGAAGGCAACACCAAAGUUCAGAGAUGAGAAAGAGCAUGAGAUCAGUCCUGGCGUGGUUCUGCUUUUUCCUUGAGCAAGCUACAACAGACGGAUCCAACAGCCCCACGAGGAACCUGCUGAGGGAGCAGAGCCCAUUAUGGAGCCUUGCUCCAUAACCACAAGGCAGCAAAGCAGAGCACAUCUCCUGCCUGCAGGUCUCCAGGGAGAGUCAACAGCCUGCGUGAAACACCUCUUCUCCCUUUUAACUUCGGAAAGGAAACUAAAGAGCGGAUGAAGUGAGAAGAUGCCUUUAGGAUUCCUGCACUCACAGGUUGGAGUGCAGACAGGGCAGCAGACACAGGAAUUACACACAGAACCCCCUCACCUCAACACCUCCAUCGCCUCUAGAGAUGUCUAGAAGGUAUUUCUAUGGCUCAAUGCUGACAGUUAUCAUAAAAACAAGUUAUGGAUGCGGGAAUUCUGAACUCAAAAAUAGUUAUUUCUGCAGAUUGUAUCAAGAUUUCGUUGUAAAAACGGACUUAGGAAAGACACGCAAUGAUUUAGGAUUCUUGUCCUAUAAGAGCUCCCUGUCAAUUGGCUGCUGGUGGAGCGGGGUUGCCGUCAGCCUUUGUGCACCUUUUAAAGUUGAUUUGUAAACCUGAUUUUGCGGACAUUUUUAAUGAGGAUGUUUCUAUUCCUUUGGAUCAAACGCUAAUAAGCCUUAACUUCAAAUGCUGUGAUUUAGUCAUGUAUUACACUUUAUUAUAAUACAUGGCAAAAGAAGAAACGAUGCCUUUCUAACAACGGUAUGUAAUUCAUAAUGUCAUUCAUUUUAGGAAGUUUUCCUGUGAAUCUCACCUGAUCCACGUGAGAAACGAGGAUGAUGAUGGUGGUUUGACAGCAAAGAAAAAUGGCUCUUGUUAAUUUCUUUUUCUUUGGGGGGGGAUAAAAAAAGGCAGAAUUCAUCAAUGUUGGAGGGCAAAAGCAUCAUAUGCACAGAAGUCGUGGCAGUGAAUCACUAUCCUUCCUGAGACACACAAAAUAAACAGUGCCAUGUGCUACAGGUCAGUGGGCGCUGCUCCUGGAAGGGAAAGCAAAGUGAGAGGGCUGAGCUGCCCGUGUGGGGGUGAGUCACAGGGGGAGGAAAACAACAAUAUCUGAAAAGGCAGAUUUGAGGGAUCUGAUAUUGGGGUGAGAACAGAUGUGUUCUAUGUGUAAUUUCUUAAUGUGGCAGCAAAUGGGAGACUUCUGAAAUGCACAACGAUCAACUAAAGCUAAAAGCGUUCAGUUUCCCUUGAAGAAAUCAGUGAAUAAUAACAGAUCUGGAAAUCAUAAGGCUGAGAACAUUUUUAUGCAUACUGCAUAACAAAAUAAACCCUUUACAUAAGACAGUAAUAAUGCCCAUUAAUGAAUAUACAUAUGGCAGAGAUUUUAAUUCCAUGCAUAUGAUUUAAUAAUCACAGAAAAAAAAAAA